rnacentral:tRNA from 1 species
GGGCCUAUGGCGCAAUUGGUAGCGCGUAGUAAGUUCACCUGCAUCCAAUCGGAUUGCAAAUCGUAAGGUUGUCCGAUCGAGCCGGGCUGGGCUCA